AGGGGAUCUUCGGACCUUUCGCUAACAGAUGAGCCUGCGUUAGAUUAGCUAGUUGGUAGGGUAAAGGCCUACCAAGGCGACGAUCUAUAGCUGGUCUGAGAGGACGAUCAGCCACACUGGGACUGAGACACGGCCCAGACUCCUACGGGAGGCAGCAGUGGGGAAUAUUGGACAAUGGGCGAAAGCCUGAUCCAGCAAUACCGCGUGUGUGAAGAAGGCCUUAGGGUUGUAAAGCACUUUCAAUUGGGAGGAAAACCUGCCGGCCAAUACCCGGUAGCUUGACAUUACCUUUAGAAGAAGCACCGGCUAACUCCGUGCCAGCAGCCGCGGUAAUACGGAGGGUGCGAGCGUUAAUCGGAAUUACUGGGCGUAAAGCGUGCGUAGGCGGUUCGUUAAGUCAGAUGUGAAAGCCCUGGGCUCAACCUGGGAACUGCAUUUGAAACUGGCGGACUAGAGUUUAGUAGAGGGGAGUGGAAUUUCAGGUGUAGCGGUGAAAUGCGUAGAUAUCUGAAGGAACACCAGUGGCGAAGGCGACUCCCUGGACUAGAACUGACGCUGAGGUACGAAAGCGUGGGUAGCAAACAGGAUUAGAUACCCUGGUAGUCCACGCCGUAAACGAUGUCGACUAGC
rnacentral:rRNA from 1 species